CACGAUUCCGGAGGUUCGUAUAAAAGCGAUGGAUUCAAGUUGAAUCCAUUUCCACAUCAUCCUGCGAUUCUCCCGGUGAAGUCCGACCGAGGUUCAGCGACGGUGAAGCAACAGCUCGCAUCUGAGAAGAACACCUAAAACCGAGUUGAUUGAAGGUUGUAACUUCAUAUCUAGGGUUUACCCUAUUUCCAAAUCAGACGAUCGACUCCAAGGUUUGAAGAACUAGAAUCGAAGUUUGAUUUAAGAUGACAUCGAAUAUAUCCGCUUGUGAUAUUGCAAAGUGUGAGAACUGUGGGAAAGGUUGCUCAGUUUUCACUUCUAAGUCAGGGUCACAUGUUGGAAGGAAAUUUUUUAAAUGUUCAAUGAAUUGUCACUUCUUCAUGUGGGUUGACCAUCUUAAGAUGUGUGACUGUGGGAACGGUCAAUGUAAGGUCAGAACUGCGAAAACAAGUGCGAAUUAUGGUCGAUAUUUUUGGUGCUGUCCACAAUCAACUGGGGUUGAAAACAAAGGUUGUGGAAUGUUUGAAUGGAUAUCAAGUUCAAGCCCAAGUUGUGAUACUUACCAGACUCCACCUAGGUCCAUAUGCUCAAAAACAUCAACUUCAUCAUCUCCUUCCCCUUCAUCAGACUAUAUCAAAGGAUACUUGAACGGUGCAAUAAAAGAAUCUG